UACGUAGGGACCGAGCGUUGUCCGGAAUCAUUGGGCGUAAAGAGCGUGUAGGCGGCCAUUUAAGUCCUGCGUGAAAUCCUGCGGCUCAACCGCAGGCGGUCGUGGGAAACUGGGUGGCUAGAGUGCGGGAGAGGAGAGUGGAAUUCCUGGUGUAGCGGUGGAAUGCGCAGAUAUCAGGAAGAACACCCGUGGCGAAGGCGGCUCUCUGGAACGCAACUGACGCUGAGACGCGAAAGCGUGGGGAGCAAACAGG
rnacentral:rRNA from 1 species